GACUACAUUUCCCAGAAGCCUCUACCACAUGAUUGCAGUUACUUCCGGUUUGACGAUCUGCAGCAGCUCAAGCUGAUCUCUCUCACUUACAGACAGGAAUGGAUUCCUAACUCCCAGUUCACUUAAUUAAGUAACUACACAGAACUCAUAUGCAGAAUUUUGCUCAGGAUUGAAGCUCAUUCAGGGGGAGUCCGGCCUACAUCAGAGUGGCAGACCUACAGAAGGUCUGUUGGCGGUUUGUGGGGCAAUGAUGAAAGCGGC